rnacentral:rRNA from 1 species
UAGCCAGACUCCUACGGGAGGCAGCAGUGGGGAAUAUUGCACAAUGGGGGGAACCCUGAUGCAGCGACGCCGCGUGAGGGAAGAAGGUUUUCGGAUUGUAAACCUCUGUCCUCUGUGACGAUAAUGACGGUAGCAGAGGAGGAAGCCACGGCUAACUACGUGCCAGCAGCCGCGGUAAUACGUAGGUGGCGAGCGUUAUCCGGAAUUACUGGGUGUAAAGGGAGCGUAGGCGGGGAUGCAAGUUGGGUGUUAAAUCUACCGGCUCAACUGGUAGUCGCACUCAAAACUGCAGCUCUUGAGUGAAGUAGAGGCAGGCGGAAUUCCUAGUGUAGCGGUGAAAUGCGUAGAUAUUAGGAGGAACACCAGUGGCGAAGGCGGCCUGCUGGGCUUUUACUGACGCUGAGGCUCGAAAGUGUGGGGAGCAAACAGGAUUAGAUACCCUCGUA